rnacentral:rRNA from 1 species
UACGUAGGGACCAAGCAGUUGUUCGGAUUUACUGGGCGUAAAGGGCGCGUAGGCGGCGCGGUAAGUCACUUGUGAAAUCUCUGAGCUUAACUCAGAACGGCCAAGUGAUACUGCAGUGCUAGAGUGCAGAAAGGGCAAUCGGAAUUCUUGGUGUAGCGGUGAAAUGCGUAGAUAUCAAGAGGAACACCUGAGGCGAAGGCGGGUUGCUAGGCUGACACUGACGCUGAGUGCGCGAAAGCCAGGGGAGCAAACGGG